UCGAGUUUUGAAACGGGUUUUGUUGCUGGCCUCAUACGGGGCAUGUGCACGCCUGAACUUCAUCCACUCUUCAACCCCUGUGGCACUUAUUGUAGGCUAGCGUGAAAGGUCGCAUUCAUUUGCGGCUGGAAAGCCUGUUCUACGUUUACUACAAAACGCUUCAGUUUAUAGAAUGUUUAUUCUGCGUAUAACGCAUUUAUAUA
rnacentral:misc_RNA from 1 species